UAAGGAAUAUUGGUCAAUGGACGCAAGUCUGAACCAGCCAUGCCGCGUGGAGGAUGAAGGCCCUCUGGGUUGUAAACUUCUUCUAUAUGGGACGAAAAAGGGUCUUUCUAGAUCAACUGACGGUACCAUGUGAAUAAGCACCGGCUAACUCCGUGCCAGCAGCCGCGGUAAUACGGAGGGUGCAAGCGUUAUCCGGAUUCACUGGGUUUAAAGGGUGCGUAGGUGGGUUGGUAAGUCAGUGGUGAAAUCGCCGAGCUUAACGUGGAAGCUGCCAUUGAUACUAUCAGUCUUGAAUAUUGUGGAGGUCAGCGGAAUAUGUCAUGUAGCGGUGAAAUGCUUAGAUAUGACAUAGAACACCGAUGGCGAAGGCAGCUUGCUACAGGAUUAUUGACACUGAGGCUCGAAAGGGUGGGGAUCAAACA
rnacentral:rRNA from 1 species